rnacentral:SRP_RNA from 14 species
CCAUCCGCGGUGGUCUUGUAGUCGUGAGGCGCUGGCGUGGGGCCACCGAUCGUCAACGCAUCUGAAGGGGAGCUUCUCUUCUGCGUCGUCUUCGGAACCCUACCAGGCAC